rnacentral:rRNA from 1 species
CGAGGAAUAUUGCUCAAUGGGCGAAAGCCUGAAGCAGCAACGCCGCGUGCGCGAUGAAGGUCUUCGGAUCGUAAAGCGCUUUUGAGAGGGACGAGAUAGGACGGUACCUCUUGAAUAAGUCACGGCUAACUACGUGCCAGCAGCCGCGGUAAAACGUAGGUGGCAAGCGUUAUCCGGAUUCACUGGGCGUAAAGCGCGUGCAGGUGGCUUCGUAAGUUGGACGUUAAAUCUUUCGGUCUAACCGGGAGGUGUCGUUCAAUACUGCGGGGCUUGAGGGUAGAAGAGGGGGGUGGAAUUGCCGGUGGAGUGGUGAAAUGCGUAGAUAUCGGCAGGAACACCUGUGGCGAAAGCGGCCCCCUGGUCUGCUCCUGACACUCAGACGCGAAAGCUAGGGGAGUGAACG